AACGAACGCUGGCGGCAGGCCUAACACGUGCAAGUCGAGCGAAGCCUUCGGGCUUAGCGGCGGACGGGUGAGUAACGCGUGGGAACGUGCCCUUUGGUACGGAAUAGCCCCGGGAAACUGGGAGUAAUACCGUAUGUGGUCGAGAGACGAAAGAUUUAUCGCCAAAGGAUCGGCCCGCGUUGGAUUAGGUAGUUGGUGGGGUAAUGGCCUACCAAGCCGACGAUACAUAGUUGGUUUGAGAGGAUGAUCAGCCACACUGGGACUGAGACACGGCCCAGAUUCCUACGGGAGGCAGCAGUGGAGAAUCUUAGACAAUGGGGGAAACCAUGAUCUAGCCAUGCCGCGUGAUCGAUGAAGGCCUUAGGGUUGUAAAGAUCUUUCAGUGGGGAAGAUAAUGACUGUACCCACAGAAGAAGCCCCGGCUAACUCCGUGCCAGCAGCAGCCGCAGUAA
rnacentral:rRNA from 1 species